rnacentral:rRNA from 1 species
AUAUCAAUAAGCGGAGGAAAAGAAACUAACAAGGAUUCCCCUAGUAACUGCGAGUGAAGCGGGAAAAGCUCAAAUUUGAAAUCUGGCGGUCGUUGAUCGUCCGAGUUGUAAUCUAGAGAAGUGUUGCCUGCGCUGGACCAUGUACAAGUCUUCUGGAAUGGAGCGUCGCAGAGGGUGAGAAUCCCGUCUUUGACAUGGACUGCCAGUGCGCUGUGGUACGCUCUCGAAGAGUCGAGUUGUUUGGGAAUGCAGCUCAAAAUGGGUGGUAAAUGCCAUCUAAAGCUAAAUAUUGGCGAGAGACCGAUAGCGAACAAGUACCGUGAGGGAAAGAUGAAAAGAACUUUGGAAAGAGAGUUAAACAGUACGUGAAAUUGCUGAAAGGGAAACGCUUGAAGUCAGUCGCGUUGGCCAGAAAUCAGCCCUGCUUCUGUGUGGUGUACUUUCUGGUCGACGGGUCAGCAUCAAUUUUGGCCGCUGGAUAAAGUCUCUGGGAAUGUGGCAUCUCUUUUGAUGUGUUAUAGCCCAUUGUCGCAUGCGGUGGCUGGGAUUGAGGAACUCAGCACGCCCUCGCAAGGGGGCCAGGUUUCGACCAUGUUCGUGCUUAGGAUGCUGGCAUAAUGGCUUCAAUCGACCCGUCUUGAAACACGGACCAAGGAGUCUAACAUGCCUGCGAGUGUUUGGGUGGAAAACCCGUGCGCGCAAUGAAAGUGAAAGUUGAGAUCUCUGUAAAAGGAGAGCAUCGAUGCCCGGACCAGACCUUCUGCGACGGAUCCGCGGUAGAGCAUGCAUGUUGGGACCCGAAAGAUGGUGAACUAUGCCUGAAUAGGGUGAAGCCAGAGGAAACUCUGGUGGAGGCUCGUAGCGAUUCUGACGUGCAAAUCGAUCGUCAAAUUUGGGUAUAGGGGCGAAAGACUAAUCGAACCAUCUAGUAGCUGGUUCCUGCC